GGCUGGUUAGCUCAGUCAGUUGAGCAUAGCGCUAGCAACGCUAAGGUCAUGGGUUCGUAUUCCGGUUUGGUCC
rnacentral:tRNA from 1 species